rnacentral:rRNA from 1 species
AUUGAACGCUGGCGGCAUGCCUUACACAUGCAAGUCGAACGGCAGCACGGGUGCUUGCACCUGGUGGCGAGUGGCGAACGGGUGAGUAAUACAUCGGAACGUACCUUAUCGUGGGGGAUAACGCAGCGAAAGUUGCGCUAAUACCGCAUACGCCCUGAGGGGGAAAGCGGGGGACCGUAAGGCCUCGCGCGAUUAGAGCGGCCGAGGUCUGAUUAGCUUGUUGGUGAGGGAAAAGCUCACCAAGGCGAUGAUCAGUAGCUGGUAUGAGAGGACGAUCAGCCACACUGGGACUGAGAAACGGCCCAGACUCCUACGGGGGGCAGCAGUGGGGAAUUUUGGACAAUGGGGGCAACCCUGAUCCAGCAAUGCCGCGUGAGUGAAGAAGGCCUUCGGGUUGUAAAGCUCUUUUGUCAGGGAAGAAACAGCAGCUCUAACACAGUUUGCGAAUGACGGUACCUGAAGAAUAAGCACCGGCUAACUACGUGCCAGCCGCCGCCGUAA